GAUUUUUUAUUAAAAAUGUUUUCUGCUCAGUGUUUAUUAAAUAGCCGCGGUAAUUUGACCGUGCAAAGGUAGCAUAAUCAUUUGUCUUGUAAUUUAGGGCUUGUAUGAAUGGAUUUAUCGAAAAUUUUUCUGUCUUUAUUUUUUUAAAAGAAAUUGUAUUUUAUGUGAAGAUACAUAAAUUUUGAAAUAGGACAAGAAGACCCUUUGAGCUUUAUUGUGUUUUUUUCUUUUUGGUUCAAAAGUAAUUUGGUUGGGGUGACCGGGGAAGAUGAAUGUGGAUCUUUCUUUUUUUUCUUAGAACCAGUAUUAUUGGUAUAUGGAAUAAGUUACCAAAGGGAUAACAGCGUAAUUUUUUUUGAGAGUUCUUAUUAAAAGAAAAGAUUGCGACCUCGAUGUUGACUUAUAGUAUCUUUUUGGUGCAGUAACUAAAUAAGUGGGUCUGUUCGACCUUUAAUACUUU
rnacentral:rRNA from 1 species